AGUGAACGCUGGCGGUAGGCCUAACACAUGCAAGUCGAACGGCAGCACAGUAAGAUCUUGCUCUUACGGGUGGCGAGUGGCGUACGGGUGAGGAAUACAUCGGAAUCUACUUUUUCUUUUGUGUUAACGUAGGUAAACUUACGCUAAUACCUCAUUCGACCUACCUUUUUAAUCAGUGGUUCUUCUGACCUUUCGCGUUUGUAUUAGCCGAUGUCGGAUUAGCUAGUUUGCGGGGUAAAGGCCCACCAAGGCGACGAUCCGUAGCUGGUCUGAGAGGAUGAUAAGCGACACUGGAAAUGAGACAAGGACAAGAGUACUACGGGAGGAAGCAGAGGGGAAUAGUGGAAAAUGGGCGGAAGCAUGAUACAGCGAUACAGCGUGGGUGAAGAAGGCAUUCGGGUUGUAAAGCCCUUUUGUGGGGAAAGAAAAGCAGCAGGUUAAUACCACGCUGUACUGACGGUAACGAAAGAAUAAGCACCGGCUAACUUCGUG
rnacentral:rRNA from 1 species